rnacentral:rRNA from 1 species
AGGAUAAGCUAGGAAGGGCGCACGGUGGAUGCCUUGGCACUAGGAGCCGAAGAAG